CCACAGUGAACACACACACAGCAAAGGCGUUGUCACUGCGUGCCUGAUUGCUAACCUCUCUGCACUUGGGAAGUGUUGAAAAUAGAGACCAAGGAGCUAUGUGCUAUCACGAAGGCACCAACUUCACCUCAAGCCUUCCAAAGCUUCACCGUGAUGAGAACUGACUGC